rnacentral:rRNA from 1 species
ACAUGCCUACAACAUAGCGUUAAUGCACUGUAUCCCAUUAGAACUCUGCAUUAAGUGUGCUCAUGCUAGAGUAGUACUGGGAUGGGUGACCGCUCGAGAAGUCCUAGUGUUUUACAUGCC